rnacentral:sRNA from 1 species
GGCCCACCUCCCUGCCAGGGAGGGAGCAAAGAUGGAGCGGCGGGAGGAGCAGCCGGGGGCUGCAGGGGCUGGAGCAGCACCAGCCUUGGACUUCACUGUGGAGAACGUGGAGAAGGACUCGGAGCUCUUCGACAGCAGUGUGGAGGCCAUUGUGAAUGCCAUCUCACAGCCUGAUGCCCAGAGGUACGUGAACACACUCCUGAAACUCAUCCCGCUGGUGCUGGGUCUGCAGGAACAACUGCGGCAGGCAGUGCAGAAUGGGGACAUGGAGACCUCCCAUGGCAUCUGUCGCAUCGCUGUGGCCCUGGGCGAGAACCACUCCCGGGCCUUGCUGGACCAAGUAGAGCACUGGCAGAGUUUCCUGGCACUCGUCAACAUGAUUAUGUUCUGCACAGGCAUCCCUGGCCACUAUCCUGUCAAUGAGACCACCAGCUCCCUAACCCUCACCUUCUGGUACACACUGCAGGAUGAUAUUCUAUCCUUUGAGGCAGAGAAGCAGGC